rnacentral:rRNA from 1 species
UACGUAGGGUGCGAGCGUUGUCCGGAAUUAUUGGGCGUAAAGAGCUCGUAGGCGGUGUGUCACGUCGGCCGUGAAAACCCGGGGCUCAACCCCGGGCCUGCAGUCGAUACGGGCGGACUAGAGUUCGGCAGGGGAGACUGGAAUUCCUGGUGUAGCGGUGAAAUGCGCAGAUAUCAGGAGGAACACCGGUGGCGAAGGCGGGUCUCUGGGCCGAUACUGACGCUGAGGAGCGAAAGCGUGGGGAGCGAACAGG